rnacentral:misc_RNA from 1 species
AUUUAAGGAGAAGAUGCCAUUUUCAAAGAAGCUAUCAUAACUCCCUAAAUUCCGGGAUGAUGGGUGAAAUUUACUCUUAAAAAUUGCCUCUUUGAAAAUGGCAUCUUCUCCUUAAAUUUGGUAAAGUCAGAAACAUGCAGAGGAACUGAUACCAAUUCUCACUGAGAACCAGUGUCCACUUUGUAGUUGCUUUAUUCGCAAUCCAGUUUCAUUCUGUUUAAAAUUCUACUUCUUCAGGAAAAACAGCUCUUCCCGAGUAGAC